rnacentral:rRNA from 1 species
AUUGAACGCUGGCGGCAGGCCUAACACAUGCAAGUCGAGCGAGCGGCGGACGGGUGAGUCAUGUAUGGGGAUCUGCCCGAUCGAGGGGGAUAACUACUGGAAACGGUGGCUAAUACCGCAUACUAUCAGAUGAACCCAUAUGGGAUUAGCUAGUAGGUGGGGUAAUGGCUCACCUAGGCGACGAUCCCUAGCUGGUCUGAGAGGGGGAUCAGCCACACUGGGACUGAGACACGGCACAGACUCCUACGGGAGGCAGCAGUGGGGAAUAUUGCACAAUGGGCGCAAGCCUGAUGCAGGCAUGCCGCGUGUAUGAAGAAGGCCUUAGGGUUGUAAAGCACUUUCAGCGGGGAGGCGUUACCCGAAGAAGAAGCACCGGCUAACUCCGUGCCAGCAGCCGCGGUAAUAC